GAGAGCCGGAUACGCCGAGAGGUGUCCGUCCGGUUCGGGAGGGGGAGCACCGAAACCUACCGGAGAAAUCCGGCAAGGCGCGGUGUCUCCUACCUCAU
rfam:Clostridium sp. ASF502 genomic scaffold acMal-supercont1.26, whole genome shotgun sequence.